rnacentral:rRNA from 1 species
UCAAACUGGAGAUGGCGACCGGCGCACGGGUGAGUAACACGUAUCCAACCUGCCGAUAACUCGGGGAUAGCCUUUCGAAAGAAAGAUUAAUACCCGAUGGCAUAAUAGAACCGCAUGGUUGAUUAUUAAAGAAUUUCGGUUAUCGAUGGGGAUGCGUUCCAUUAGGCAGUUGGUGGGGUAACGGCCCACCAAACCUUCGAUGGGUAGGGGUUCUGAGAGGAAGGUCCCCCACAUUGGAACUGAGACACGGUCCAAACUCCUACGGGAGGCAGCAUG